UCGACCGCGAUUCUCUGCGCAAAAAUAGUUAAUCGAAUAAAAGAUGAAGUUCGUACUUUUAAUUUUUGUCGCUUUGGUUUUUGUUGCUGAAACCUAUGGACAAAGAGAAAAUCGAAGAGUAUGUUCGGGUGGGCGUUGUCAAUUUGUGCCCGGAAGUGUUUACGGUAAAUAAUAGAAUUACGGACUUAUCAUCUCAAGAAAAAGUUUGACAAAAAAGGUUUCAGCGAGGGAACAAACUGAUGAUCGAGCAGUGCAUAAAUAAGUGGUCAAUUUUUUAAAAGAAAAUAAAAGUUUAAAAAAAUUGUUUUGGCAAUUUUUCGAUUAUAUCCUUCUUUGAAUAUGAUAUCAAUUUAAGCCUUCAUCGUUAGAUGGCGAGUACCCUUAUCUGUAAACAUGCAAGUAACAAAAUAAAUGAAAAUAAUUAUAUAA